ACCUUGUUACGACUUCACCCCAAUCAUGAAUCAUACCUUGGGCCUGUUUGAUUAGGACUUCUAGUACAAUCCACUUUCGUGAUGUGACGGGCGGUGUGUACAAGGCCCGGGAACGUAUUCACGGCGUCAUUCUGAUACGCCAUUACUAGCGAUUCCAGCUUCACGCAGGCGAGUUGCAGCCUGCGAUCCGAACUGAGAACGGUUUUUAGCGAUUAGCUCCCCCUCGCGGGUUUGCAGCGUUUUGUACCGUCCAUUGUAGCACGUGUGUAGCCCUGGACAUAAAGGCCAUGAUGACUUGACAUCAUCCCCACCUUCCUCCAGCUUAUCGCUGGCGGUCUCCUGAGAGUGCUUCCUUGCGGAGUGGCAACACAGGACAAGGGCUGCGCUCGUUGCGGGACUUAACCCAACAUCUCACGACACGAGCUGACGACAGCCAUGCAGCACCUCGACUGGACCUCCUUGCGGAGUA
rnacentral:rRNA from 1 species